rnacentral:rRNA from 1 species
AGAGCGAACGCUGGCGGCAGGCUUAACACAUGCAAGUCGAGCGGGCGUAGCAAUACGUCAGCGGCAGACGGGUGAGUAACGCGUGGGAACGUACCUUUUGGUUCGGAACAACACAGGGAAACUUGUGCUAAUACCGGAUAAGCCCUUACGGGGAAAGAUUUAUCGCCGAAAGAUCGGCCCGCGUCUGAUUAGCUAGUUGGUGAGGUAACGGCUCACCAAGGCGACGAUCAGUAGCUGGUCUGAGAGGAUGAUCAGCCACAUUGGGACUGAGACACGGCCCAAACUCCUACGGGAGGCAGCAGUGGGGAAUAUUGGACAAUGGGCGCAAGCCUGAUCCAGCCAUGCCGCGUGAGUGAUGAAGGCCCUAGGGUUGUAAAGCUCUUUUGUGCGGGAAGAUAAUGACGGUACCGCAAGAAUAAGCCCCGGCUAACUUCGUGCUAGCAGCCGC